rnacentral:ncRNA from 1 species
AAGAGCCGUGUGAGUCGAGAGGUUCACGCACGGUUCUGUGAGAGGCUUGCGUUGAAAUGCGCUUGCCUACUUGAC